UACGUAGGGGGCUAGCGUUGUCCGGAAUCAUUGGGCGUAAAGCGCGUGUAGGCGGUUCGGUAAGUCCGCUGUGAAAGUCGGGGGCUCAACCCUCGAAUGCCGGUGGAUACUGUCGGGCUAGAGUGCGGAAGAGGCGAGUGGAAUUCCUGGUGUAGCGGUGAAAUGACGCAGAUAGUCAGGAGGAACACCAAUUGCGAAGGCAGCUCGCUGGGACGCUACUGACGCUGAGACGCGAAAGCGUGGGGAGCAAACAGG
rnacentral:rRNA from 1 species